rnacentral:rRNA from 1 species
UACAGGGGGGGCAAGCGUUGUUCGGAAUUACUGGGCGUAAAGGGCCAGUAGGCGGCCAACUAAGUCACACGUGAAAUCCCCAGGCUUAACCUGGGAACUGCGUGUGAUACUGGAUGGCUUGAAUUCGGGAGAGGGAUGCAGAAUUCCAGGUGUAGCGGUGAAAUGCGUAGAGACCCGGAGGAACACCGGUGGCGAAGGCGGCUUCCUGGUCUGCAACUGACGCUGUGGCGCGAAAGCUAGGGGAGCAAACGGG